rnacentral:rRNA from 1 species
AUUGAACGCUGGCGGCAGGCCUAACACAUGCAAGUCGAGCGGAUGAAGGGAGCUUGCUCCUGGAUUCAGCGGCGGAUGGGUGAGUAAUGCCUAGGAAUCUGCCUGGUAGUGGGGGAUAACGUCCGGAAACGGGCGCUAAUACCGCAUACGUCCUGAGGGAGAAAGUGGGGGAUCUUCGGACCUCACGCUAUCAGAUGAGCCUAGGUCGGAUUAGCUAGUUGGUGGGGUAAAGGCCUACCAAGGCGACGAUCCGUAACUGGUCUGAGAGGAUGAUCAGUCACACUGGAACUGAGACACGGUCCAGACUCCUACGGGAGGCAGCAGUGGGGAAUAUUGGACAAAGGGCGAAAGCCUGAUCCAGCCAUGCCGCGUGUGUGAAGAAGGUCUUCGGAUUGUAAAGCACUUUAAGUUGGGAGGAAGGGCAGUAAGUUAAUACCUUGCUGUUUUGACGUUACCAACAGAAUAAGCACCGGCUAACUUCGUG